rnacentral:rRNA from 1 species
UACGUAGGGUGCUAGCGUUGUCCGGAUUUAUUGGGCGUAAAGAGCGUGUAGGCGGCCAUACAGGUCAGCUGUGAAAAACUCGAGGCUCAACCUCGAGACGUCGGUUGAAACCGUUUGGCGUAGAGUCCGGAAGAGGAGGAGUGGAAUUCCCGGGUGUAGCGGUGAAAUGCGCAGAUAAUCGGGAAGAACACCCGUGGCGAAGGCGGCUGCAC